CGCGGUUUGGCAAGAUGCAGCGGUGCCUUGACACUUGCUCAAUGGCAUCCACCACUGUCAUGUUCUUGUAAAUCAUCAGCAUUCCAGCUUCCUGACGACAUCUUGUCCAUGAAGUAGCGCUCUCAGGAUGUGCAAGAAACUGGAAUGCAACCAAAACAGAAUGUUAACCCAAGGAAGCACAAAAUUUUGCUUCCUACCUGUUGUCAGCUCUGAAAAAGGAGUGGAACUGUGAUAUCAUCAGAAGUUUUUUCCCAAGAUGCCAAAGGAAGAAAACUACCUAUCAGCGCUGAGCCUUUCACGAGGAUUC